UAGGGAAUCUUCGGCAAUGGACGAAAGUCUGACCGAGCAACGCCGCGUGAGUGAAGAAGGUUUUCGGAUCGUAAAACUCUGUUGUUAGAGAAGAACAAGGACGUUAGUAACUGAACGUCCCCUGACGGUAUCUAACCAGAAAGCCACGGCUAACUACGUGCCAGCAGCCGCGGUAAUACGUAGGUGGCAAGCGUUGUCCGGAUUUAUUGGGCGUAAAGCGAGCGCAGGCGGUUUCUUAAGUCUGAUGUGAAAGCCCCCGGCUCAACCUGAGAACUGCAUUCGAAACUGGCAGGCUAGAGUCUUGUAGAGGGGGGUAGAAUUCCAGGUGUAGCGGUGAAAUGCGUAGGGAUCUGGAGGAAUACCGGUGGCGAAGGCGGCCCCCAGGACAAAGGCUGACGCUCAGGAGCGAAAGCGUGGGGAGCAAACAGG
rnacentral:rRNA from 1 species